GUGGCUCCUCCAGCUGCCGUCAAGCUUCAAAUGACUAUAGCCCUACAGCCUCCGACUGCAUUUUAACUCCAACCUCCGAAGAGAUUCUGAGCCAGAACCACCCAGCUAAGCCAUUGCUGAAUCCUUGACCAGCAGAGACGAUGUUCGGUGGAACGACAUGGACACGAAAGCCUUGCAGCACUCUCUGUUCUCCUGUCCCUGAGGUACACUGACACCUGAGCAGCCAAAGCCUUGGUCAGGUCCCAGGUGACACCGAUGCUGGCUCUCUGGGGACUACGCUCUCGUCUCCAAUGACAAGACAGCCAAUGACAAGGGGAGCCCACUAGGUGACACACGCUGCUCACACACCCAGAGUCUUCACGCUUUUUAAUUCCUCCCUCUAAAAUAUGAACAGAAGCCAAGGAUCGCCAAAAUGGAGAAAACCUCCACUAUGAAAGAAAGUGACACAAAAACAAAUACGUACAGAGUAAAGAAAUGUAGAUCAAUGAAAGAUAAUGAAGAGACCAGAAAAAAAAAAUCUCUGAAACGGUUAGAAUUCAUAUCCCUCAAGAGAAAAGCUACUGCAUCUGUUGAAACAAAUCAAGGCUGGUGAAAAGGAGACAAUCAAAUAACAAGAGCUCAUAGAACUAAAUAUAUAAUAGCCCAAAUGAAAAUUUCAGUGAGGGAUGGGAUGAUAAAGUCACAGAAAUACUACAAGUAGAAGAGAAAGAAAUGAAAAGAAAAGAGGAAAGAAAAGAAAAGGAAAAAGAUAAGAAAUGACCCUAGAGGCCCAACAGCUACCUCUAAUCCAGAGAGUUAAAACAAGGGGUGCAUGGUUGGGGAAAAGGAGGAAAUUACACAGAAAUUAUUCAGAACUGAUUAUGAGUUUUAGAUGAAAAGGGAGGGACCCCAGGAAGUCAAUCAUAGUGACAGUGGUGGGAGAUAAACCAAGGCAAAUCAUUUAAAAAUUCUAGAACACCAGGGUUAAGAAAAGAUCUUAAAGCUUCUAGUGCUUAUUUCUCUCAAGUUCACAUUCACUGAAACAGGAAUGAAACGGCUCCAGGCUUACCAACAGUAAUGUUAGAUACUGGGAGACAAUGAGAAAUGUCAUCAAAAUCCUAAGAGGACUCAAACAUUUAUCUCUUAUCCAUACUUUCUUGGGAAAGUAUCAAAAAAUACACAUACCAGCAGAAAUAGGAAAUGAACUAAGAAAUAAGAAGUCACUGAAUCAAAGAAGCAAGAGACCAUAGGAGAAUGGUGAUCGGAAGUCCCAGAAAGUGGGAGAAGGAAAGUCGAAGGCCAACAUCUGUGGCCAGAGGUAUCUGGAAGUUCUCCAGAACACAAACAAACAGAAAAAAGAAUUUCCACAAUGGAGGUUCCAGUUGACAUUCCCCUUAGUAAUAGAGAGUUCUAGUUGUUCCACAUCCCUGCUAACACUUGAUAUUAUCAAUUUUUGGUUUUGUGGGGGGUUUUUGUUUUGUUUCUUAGCCAGCUGGUGGAUGUGUACUGGUAUCUCAUCAUGGCUUUAUUUGAAUUUCUCUGAUGACUGAUGAUGUUUGGCACCUUCUCAUUUAUUUAUCAAUCAUUUAGAUACCUUCUUUUUUGCCUGUUCAAGCCUUUUGCCUAUCUUAUAAAUGUUGUUGUCUUUUUUUUUUUUAAUAAUCUGUAGGACUUCUUUUAUAUAUUUUGGAUAUGAGUCCUCUGUCAGGCUUGUCUUUAUACUCUGUUUAAGGUGUCUUUUGAAGAAUAGAAGUUUUUUUAUAAAGUACAAAUCAUCAGUCUUUUCCUUUAGGAUGAGUACUUUUCAAUGUCUUAUUAAUUUUGGAGUUUUUAUCCCCAAUUGGGAUUAUUCUGUACAUACCUUUCAUAGCAUUUUAAAAAUUUAACAAUAUAUUACAAAGCAUUUAACCUCAUAUUUCUUCAAGAACACUAUUUAAAAUGGCUGCACAGUAUGCCACUGUAUGGCUAUGUCAUCCCUUAUGGAACUCAACAUUUACUCUUGUGUAUUUAGAUUGAUCUAGAACAUUAUUUAAAUAAAAUUACAAAGUUAGGGAGUGUAUUACAAAUUAGAAAUUUGAGAUUUUAAAUCCAAGUUUGGCUAAUUCUAAUCUUCAUUACCCAGUGAGUACAUAUGGAGCACCUAAUGUUUCUUUAGCAUUAUCCUAGAGGAUACAAAAGAAAUUACGAGAGGAGACCUGUCCCUAAGGAGCUGACAAUAUAUUUCAUGGCCAGACACUUCAUUGCUAAUUGUUUAGCAAUUAAGGAAUAAUUGGUAAGGCACCACUCUAGGUUUAAAGUAAGGGUAAACAUUGAUUCAUUGUAGGAAAUAAAAACAGAUCAUUAGGAUGAAACUGCAUUGGUGAAGACUUUGACAUGAGGAUUUUGGAUUUGAUUCCACUGGCAAUAGGUUCACUGUAGAAGUAGGGGAGGAGAUGUAACGGGGAUGCAGUUGGGAGCCAAGCCAUCAAAUUGCAGUUUCAUGAAGCUUCUUCAGGUUAGUGGUGGGGUGGGGAGAGUGGAGUCGGAAGGAUAGAUUUAAGUUUAUAGGAAUAAUCCAAGGGCCGGGUGAUGUUAUCUUAAAAAUUUGCAACUAAUACAAUUUUUUUAAAAGAUUUUCUCCAUUUAUUCAUUCAUGAGAGACAGACGGAGAGAGAGAGAGAGCGAGGAGAAGGAAGCAGAGACACAGGCAGAGGGAGAAGCAGGCCCCA